UUAAUUGAAGCCAAAAAGAGGCUUAUCACUGUUAAUGAUAAAAUUGAGAAAAACUCCAAUUAAA
rnacentral:tRNA from 2 species